rnacentral:rRNA from 1 species
AUACGGAAGGUCCGGGCGUUAUCCGGAUUUAUUGGGUUUAAAGGGAGCGCAGGCGGAGAUGCAAGCGUGACGUCAAAUUUCGGGGCUCAACCCCGUCUCGCGUCGCGAACUGCGUCCCUUGGUUGCGGGAAGGGGAGGCGGAACUCGUGGUGUAGCGGUGAAAUGCUUAGAUAUCACGAAGAACCCCGAUUGCGAAGGCAGCUGUCUGGGGUGCCACUGACGCUGAGGCUCGAAAGUGCGGGUAUCAAACAGGAUUAGAUACCCUGGUAGUCCGCACAGUAAACGAUGGACACUCGUGGUCGGCGACACACUGCCGGUCACCAAGCGAAAGCGAUAAGUGUCCCACCUGGGGAGUACGCCGGCAACGGUGAAACUCAAAGGAAUUGACGGGG